GUGCACCAGGCGAGAAACUUCACACUGUGCGAAAGCACGAUGAGGGAAUCCCAAGUGCUUGCACGUAAGUGUAAGCUGUUUCUCUGUCUAAAACGCAGAGAGAGUAAGGGCUGGGUAAGACGGGUGCCAGCCGCCGCGGUAAUACCUGCAGCUCAAGUGGUGACCGUUAUUAUUGGGCCUAAAACGUCCGUAGCCGGUUUAAUAAAUGCCUGGGUAAAUUGUGUAGCUCAACUAUACGAAUUCCGGGUAGACUGUUAAACUUGAGACCGGGAGAAGUUAGAGGUACUCCUGGGGUAGAGGUGAAAAUUCUGUAAUCCUAGGGGGACCACCAGUGGCGAAGGCGUCUAACUAGAACGGGUCUGACGGUGAGGGACGAAGCCCUGGGGCGC
rnacentral:rRNA from 1 species